ensembl:lncRNA
UUCUCUUUGUGUUUCUGCCUAAAUCACAUUCUUCAGUGAAGGUGAAGCUUCAUGACUCUGCUACUCUGUCCUGCUCUGAGAGAUGUUCUGGUUUAGCGAGAUGGACUGUGUUCCAUAAACCCAGAGAUGCUCUGGCUGAAUGUGAUCAGACUUCAUGUAGAUCAGUGAAGGAGGGAUAUCAGAUGAUCCAUGAUCAGUACCUGAAGGGGAAUCUCUCUCUCAGCAUCACUGACACUGAUUUCAGCAAGAGAACCUUAUACACGUGUGACUGUGAUGGUAAAGAUCUCUGUGACGUGGCCCUGAAGAUUGAAACUGUGAAUACUCUAGUUCAGAUAAAGGCCGGUGAAUCUCUGGUGCUGAAUUUGGACAUAUUAGAUCCGUUGGAGGUGAUUUACGACUGCAGAGGAGCAUCUGGAACAUUCAGUGGUCAGAUCUGUACAGUGGAUGGACAAUCACUAGAGUGUAAACCUGAAUAUAAACACAGAAUGUCUAAACUAACAUCUGAUCUAGAGCUGAGAGAAAUGAAGCCGUCUGAUAGUGGAGUUUACACUAUUCGGGACAUCAAGACUAAAGAGGACAUUCACGUCUAUUCAGUGAUUGUCCAAGGUAUGAAUUUACUGGGACUUCUGUAUUUUAUUUUAUGUAGAUAUGCUGAUGGGUAUGAAAGUUGAUAAAGUUUGUUUAUGAAGGGUAAAAAGUCUUUAAACCUAUAUUAUUCAUACUGUAUUCUGCCCUCACUUGAAAACCCUGCUUCUUCAGCAGAUAGAGAACUUGUCCAAACACUCUUGAGGUUUAAAGGGAUUUAUUUGCUGUCACCACUCAGUGGAAGAGUGCGCCAGGAACUCAGUAAAACUAAACACAAAAUGGUUCAAAUGAAC